UUCACACAUGUUGUCGUUCCCACGCUCCUUCUUCGCGCUGUUUCCUCGCAGUCCUCCUCUCUCUUCUCUCCUCUUUCUCUCUCUCUCUCUCUCUCCAUAUUAUAUAUACAAGAAUAAUACAGCUAUAUUUGUAUUAUUUAUUUUGGCUGGAAUAUUUCUUCCUCGAGUAAAAACAUUAGUAAAUCAAUUGUUAUGUAUUACUGUAAUUUGAAAUUGGGAACAAUGAAGAAGAAACCCUAGCUCCUAGAAAAACCCUAAUUUCAGAAAUUACGGUUCUGUUUUGACUCGAUUUUCGGGGGGAUUUUGCAUAAUUUAUCGGCAGAGAAUAAGUGGAGAAUUGAAUUGAGGCGAAAGUGAAGAAGAAGGUGGUAAGUGGUAAUGGAGAGUAUUCCGCAUCCGAUACCGAGAACUGUAGAAGAAGUGUUCAACGAUUUCAAAGGUCGUAGAGGUGGAUUAAUCAAAGCCCUCACUACUGAUGUUGAGAAAUUCUACGAGAAGUGUGAUCCGGAAAAGGAGAACUUGUGCUUGUAUGGAAUGCCAAAUGAGACGUGGGAAGUCAACCUGCCUGUUGAGGAAGUGCCUCCGGAACUUCCUGAGCCUGCACUGGGUAUAAACUUUGCAAGGGAUGGGAUGCAAGAGAAGGACUGGUUAUCACUUGUUGCAGUACACAGUGAUUCAUGGUUGCUUUCUGUGGCUUUUUACUUUGGUGCUCGCUUUGGGUUUGGUAAGAGUGAAAGGAAACGGCUUUUUCAGAUGAUAAAUGAUCUACCUACCGUGUUUGAGGUUGUUACUGGGAGUGUUAAGCAGGCAAAGGAGGCUACUCCAUACAAUAAUAGCAGCAAACUUAAACCAAGUGUGAAGAUGCAGCCGAGGCAGUCUGAGUCUCAGCCCAGAGGAGCAAAGUUGUCAUCAAAGGAAGAGGAAGAGAGUGGGGAGGAGGAACAAGAAGAAGAAGAAGAAGAACAGGGAGCAACACUUUGUGGAGCUUGUGGGGAUAAUUAUGCAAAUGAUGAGUUCUGGAUUUGCUGUGAUAUAUGUGAGAGAUGGUUCCAUGGCAAAUGUGUGAAGAUUACACCCGCAAAAGCUGAGCAUAUCAAGCAGUACAAGUGCCCUGGUUGCAGUAGCAAGAGGGUGAGAGUUUGAACUAUGGCUUUGAAGUUGAAAGACCAAGCACUCCAAUGGAGACUUAAAAAGAAAAGAAGGCAUUUGCUUGCAGGAUUGCUGGAGUAUGCUAGAUAUGCUGCCUUUCAUCCGGAAAAGGCCUAAAAAUUUUGUUGAUUAGGAGAGAACUGAAGAAGCUUCCAAGAAAUAUUUGAGAGCAUGAUGUUUCUACAGGUGCUUUCUCUUUCUAAGAGAAGUGGUUGUUGACAUUUUUGUUUUAUGAUAGCCAGCUGAGCUAAAUUGGUGCAAUGUAAUAGAAGAAAUGAAAUAGCUGGUCACUUCAAAGUUGAUGGGCUGUUAUUUAGAUGCUUACUAUGUGAACAGUCAAUACCAAUGCUUUAUGUUUGUAGCUUA